UUCCCAUCGAUCCCCCCCCUUACCCAUGGCAUGUUUGUUCUCUUUCUUUCUCAGCAUUGCCUUCUGUUCUGUUGUUUUAUCCCCUCUCUGUGGAUUUUGCCUCUCACCUCACAAGAGGGGGGAGAUAAGGAGGAAAGGGGUAAAAGGGAUACAAAGUGAAUAUAGCACGAAGCAGUUGGCCAGGAGACAGAUGCUGUCACAUUACAUGUUGGACUUAAAGGUUAAACAGAAACUCCCGGUCAAAGCGUCCGGGCCUCCUGAGUGCAGGGUCAAUAGAGUCAAGUCUGUUUGUAGCACCAAUGACCACUAUCUCCCCACGACUGUCCAAGCCAUCCAUCAAGGCGAGCAGGGUUGACACAAUAGAACUGGGAAGAGGGAGAAGAUAUUCUACAUAAAGAUGGAGAAUGGCAGCUAUUACCAUAAGGAUCAACUGCAAGCUGUAUCUGGAUAACAGGAUAUUUUCUCAACUUCACUACAUGUUGAAAUGGUCUAAAUAAGAAAUGGAAUUGUUGUGUAUUUCAGCUUGCAUUGCAAUUGCUGCUCAAUAAACAAAUAAA